ensembl:misc_RNA Metazoa_SRP Metazoan signal recognition particle RNA
ACUGGCAUGGUGGUGUGUACCUGUACUCCCAGCUACUCAGGAGGCUGAGACAGGAGGAUGAAAAUCUAGGCUGCUCUGCGCUAUACCUAUUGGGUGUCCUCACCCAGUUUGGCAUUAAUAUGGUCACCCCUAGGAGCAAUGGACCGCCAGGUUGCCUAAAGAGGGAUGAGCCAGCCCAGAUCAGAAACAGAGGAGGUCAAAACUCCCGUAUUCAUCAGUAGUGAGAUCAACCAUGUGCCUGGCCAUUGAACUCCAGGCUGGGCAACAUAAUGAGACACCAUUUCUCA